AUAGGAAUAAACUUUCAGCCGGCAUGUGGCAACAACGGCGCCUGCGCUCAUUUUGAACCGGAGGAGGAUUCUUUUAUUAAGAUUGGACAGGCAAUGGGGAGACACCCCGUGUUAUCUUACUACUUACCUGUCAUAGCCAAUGAGGAAGUAUUCCCUGUUAGUGGCCCUGAUCGACAUCACUUCGUCAUGAUGGCAGUUAAACAUCUUCUGAUGAAAAGCCGCUUUUUCCAAGAGGUCUGAAAAAUGAAAACAUUUUGCAUCUCAGUUAAAUCUCAAAGGAAGAGAAAGGAUUUUAAAAAUGCUCAUGAGGCUGGUGGGAGGCCUGUUAAAUCUUUGUGAAUACUUACUGCAGAGAAGAAAAGCUGAGGAGGUGGUGAUUUAAUAAAGUAAUCUUGUUUGCAGACUUCAUUUUCAUAAUAUAAUGUAAAUUGUUUGCCUAAUAAAAGAAAGUGAACAGGACUCAGUCUGUUCCCUAUACAUUUCUGAGAAGAACUGCUUCAAUUGGAGAACACUGUUUACUGCUGGAAAGGUCUUCACAUUAUUCAGUUAUGGAAAAACACAUCUAUAAUAGGCCAGGAGAACAAAAAACCCAGGACCAAGUGUGUGAUUCUUAUUCAUCCACUGUCGGGACCUUUGUUCAGAUGACAUUUAGAAGCUCUUUAAUUCAGCUCACACCUGUCUGGCUCUCCGGAUGCCGGUGGCUCUCUAGAUGUGAGCAAAGAUUUGUCUCCCUUCCUGUUGAAUCACCAGCCGCAGCAGCAAGAUAAUUCUGCCUUGACCUUUGACUUACCAAACAAAAGCAAAACCACCUGCUAUUGAAAAUAAGGUGGCAGAGUGGUUAAAUAGGAGCUUUCCGAUUGUUAAUUGCUUCUCUGUAAGGAUGGACAUGUAUAGGCAGUUUUGACUUUUUCUAUAUUUUUGAAAAGGUCUGCAAGAAAUAUGUACUACUUUCCUUAUCUAGAAAAAAUUAAUGUUGCUAAAAUAAAAUUUAUUUUAAAAAGAAGACCUUGGUUUUGCUUUUACAUCCAGGCUAUAGUUCUA